rnacentral:rRNA from 1 species
AUGCUCAAGUACUGCCGCUUCUUCGCAGUCGCUAUUUGGAGGGUUAUGUUGAUGGGUUGUGCCCUUCGCCGUAUCAUCCAGCGUAUCAUGCUUGGGUGGCCCGGGAUCAAGCCAUCCUCUCUGCUAUCCAGUCCUCUCUCACGGAGGGAGUCUCGUCACUGGUCAUCUUCGCCGCUACGUCUCGGGACGCGUGAACAACCCUUCAUAUCAGUUCUGCUUCGCAGUCCCAGGCACGUGCUCAUGCUAUUCGCACUGCGCUUGGGGAGGUAA